AAAAUAAAUUCGAUCUUCAAUUCAAAUAAAUUGUUUUACAUCGGCUUUGUCUAGUCCCGUAGAUUAUAACUCAAAUCUCCAUCUCUAAUUCGAUAGUAGUGGAUAACAAUCUGAACCGAACCAAACCGAAAACUAGGUUAGCAGAUUGUUGGAUUUGAUUGUUCAUAGCUUAUUAUACAGUCACAAGGAGGUCUUCCUCAGGGAACUUGUCCGUAAUGCAAGUGAUGCUUUGGAAAAAAAAAAGUGAUGAUAAGCUGAGCCUGCUUUGCUUGGCGAUGGUGGUGGUGACCUUGAGAUUCGUAUCAAGCCUGAUCCUGAUAAGUGAUAACUGAACCAUUCACCAUUACGUAAUGAGAGGAGCGUUUUUUUUCAUUUUUGUUUUUUAAUCAACAGUUAGAUAAAGAACAUUCGUCUCUCCAUGUGAAGCGUGUGUUUGUCUCUGAUGACUUUGAUGGAGAGCUGUUACCGAGAUACUUGAGCUUUGUGAAGAGUGUGGUGGACUCAAACGAUCUCCAUCUUAACGUUUCACGUGAAAUCCUCCAAGAAAGCAAAAUCGUAAGAAUCAUGAGGGAGAGGCUCAUUAGAGAGAGAUUCGACAUGAUUCAAGAAAUCUCAGAAAGUGAAAACAAAGAGGUGAUGAAGAUGAAGUAAAGGAAAGGGAAGCUAAACAAACGUUCAAUCUUCUGUGUGAUUGGAUGAAGCAGCAGCUUGGAGACAAAGUUGCCAAAGUCUUAAGUCUCAAACCGUUUGAGCUCUUCUCCUUGUGUGCUU